GAUCUGCCCCCCUCGGCCUCCCAAAGUGCUGGGAUUACAGGACUGAGCCACCAUUCCCAGCCCCAAAUGAAUUUCUGUUACUUCACAGCCUUUUGUCAAAGCAUUAUGCCUUAGGCCGACCCCACACCCCCAGGGAAAGGAAAAAAGCCUCAGGCAUCCUUAGAUGACUGCCCUCAGAAAUUGUUCUGUGCUGGCUUUGAACCCUUUCAAGAUGUCCUAUAAAACAAGGACAUGCCAAUUCUUACUUCAGGUCUGCCUGCAAUCUAAGUCUAGCUCCUAAAGUAAGAGUUUGUUAGAUUUCACACUGAUGAUGCUUGUAUUGAUGAAAAAGAAAGCCGAACUCUAAAAUACUUGAAGAGAUGUAUUAUUCUGAGCCAAUGUGAGGACAAUAAUCCAUGACAAAGCCCCAGGAGGUCCUGAGAACACGUGCCCAAGAUGGUUGGGUUACAGCUUGAUUUUAUGUAUUUUAGGGGGACAGAAGUUACAAUCAGAGACAUAAAUCAAUAGACGCAAGGUGUACAUUGAUUUUGCCCAGAAAGGCAGGACAUCUCAAAAGGGGAAGCCUUGCAAGUCAGGUGGAUUUAAAGAUUUCUGAUUGGCAACUGGUUGAAAGGGUUAAAUUUGGGCCGGGCACAGUGGCUCACACCUGUAAUCCCAGCACUUUGGGAGGUCGAGGUGGGGUGGAUCACGAGGUCAAGAGUUCAGGACCAGCCUGGCCAACGUGGUGAAACCCUGUCUCUGCUAAGAAUACAAAAAUUAGGCAGGUGUGGUGGCACAUGCGUGUAAUCCCAGCUACUCAGGAGGCUGAGGCAGGAGAAUAGACUCUGUCUCAGAAAAAAAAAAAAAAAAAGUUAAAUUCUGCCUAAA
rnacentral:lncRNA from 1 species